GGCGCCGCCAGGAAGGGGCCCAAUGAGGGAUGUUGUGGCGGCGGCGGAGUCUCGGAAGGCACUCGGAGGUUAAGCAACGCGUCUCUCUGAGGUGGUACCGUGUGGGCCCAUCAGCCCACCUCUCGCUUGCGUUCUCUUCUGUGGUGUAUCAGCACUGUUUACGAGGGAUGCGUGAUUUGAGAAUCUCCAUUUGGUCUUUGAGCCUGUCUGUUCUGUGACCCCUGGGAUAGCUUGGCUUGCAGUGUACUUGGAGGCCACCGUUGCAUCAAGAGAGAGACAGAGCAUGAACGGGGG